rnacentral:rRNA from 1 species
UGGUUGGACAAGAAAUAAUCUGUCUUAAUUUAACAUAUUGAAUUUAACUUUUAAGUGAAAAGGCUUAAAUGAUCUGAAGGGACGAUAAGACCCUAUAAAACUUUAUACUUAUAAAUAUAGUAGUCAGUUUUAUGUAGUGUUAUUAUUUUGAAGUAUUCGGUUGGGGUGACAAGGAUAAAAUAAAAAAUAACUGUCUUUUUUGUUUACAAAGAUAUUUGGUUAGAUGAUCCUAAGAAUGGAUUAUAAGAUUAAGUUACUUUAGGGAUAACAGCGUAAUUUUCUUUAAGAGUUCUUAUCGACAAGAAAGUUUGCGACCUCGAUGUUGAAUUAAG